UACGAAGGGGGCUAGCGUUGUUCGGAAUUACUGGGCGUAAAGCGUAUGCAGGCGGACUUUUAAGUCGGGGGUGAAAUCCCGAGGCUCAACCUCGGAACUGCCUUCGAUACUGGAAGUCUUGAGUCCGGGAGAGGUGAGUGGAACUCCGAGUGUAGAGGUGAAAUUCGUAGAUAUUAGGAAGAACACCGGUGGCGAAGGCGGCCAUCUGGCUCGGUACUGACGCUCAGGCGCGAAAGCGUGGGGAGCAAACAGG
rnacentral:rRNA from 1 species